UACGUAGGGUGCGAGCGUUGUCCGGAAUUACUGGGCGUAAAGAGCUCGUAGGUGGUUUGGCGCGUUGUUCGUGAAAACUCACAGCUCAACUGUGGGCGUGCGGGCGAUACGGGCAGACUGGAGUACUGCAGGGGAGACUGGAAUUCCUGGUGUAGCGGUGGAAUGCGCAGAUAUCAGGAGGAACACCGGUGGCGAAGGCGGGUCUCUGGGCAGUAACUGACGCUGAGGAGCGAAAGCGUGGGGAGCGAACAGG
rnacentral:rRNA from 1 species